GGCCUCGGGCUGCCCCGAGGGGCUCCGGGAGUGCCGGGACCCCCGCGCUGGGGCUGGAGGAGCUGCUCAGGGAGCGCCGGGAGCUGCUCCGGGGGCCGCGACGAAUUCCAGGAAGAGCUGGAAUUCUGCGAGCGGCUGCUGCAGCUCUGCUUCGAGACCCCCCCCGAGGAAUCCACCAUGGACCGAUGACCCCAAAACCCCCCAAAAUUCCCCCAAAAAUGCCCCCAAAAACCCCCAAACGCUGCGAGCCCCCCGAGCCAGGGGGGAAUAAACGCUCCGGACCCGACCCUGGCUGAGAUUUGGGGGGAAAAAACGGCGCUGGAUGACGUCAAAAAGGAAAAAAUGGGGAAAAAAAAUCGAAAUUUUCUUCAAAUUCAGCACCGGCAGCGCGGACAGCGCGGGGGCGGGAUUAUGCUAAUUAAGGGGCGUUGUUAUGUUAAUGA